CCCUAAACCCCUAACCACCACAUCUUGAUCUCCAACAACACAAACUGUCACUUUGUUCAACAAGUCUUCUGCUAUGGCUACCAAUUCAUCUGUGAGAGAUAAAGAUGGGCCUAAUGCUACAGAGGCCAGUUUGGAUAAGAUUAAACGGCAAUUAGCAUCCAGGUCGGGUCGAAACCUCUUACAGGGUCAUCUUCUUAAGCGAUCUAAAACAAUAUUUCAUUGUAUGUUUCUAAUUUCUUAAUAUAAAUUGGAAUUAAUUUAA